UACGUAGGGUGCAAGCGUUGUCCGGAAUUAUUGGGCGUAAAGAGCUCGUAGGCGGUUUGUCGCGUCUGCUGUGAAAACUCAGGGCUUAACCCUGAGCCUGCAGUGGGUACGGGCAGACUAGAGUGCGGUAGGGGAGACUGGAAUUCCUGGUGUAGCGGUGAAAUGCGCAGAUAUCAGGAGGAACACCGGUGGCGAAGGCGGGUCUCUGGGCCGUAACUGACGCUGAGGAGCGAAAGCGUGGGGAGCGAACAGG
rnacentral:rRNA from 1 species